rnacentral:rRNA from 1 species
UGGGGAAUAUUGGACAAUGGGCGAAAGCCUGAUCCAGCCAUGCCGCGUGUGUGAAGAAGGCCUUAUGGUUGUAAAGCACUUUAAGCGAGGAGGAGGGUACUGGUAUUAAUACUACCAGGUACUGGACGUUACUCGCAGAAUAAGCACCGGCUAACUCUGUGCCAGCAGCCGCGGUAAUACAGAGGGUGCGAGCGUUAAUCGGAUUUACUGGGCGUAAAGCGUGCGUAGGCGGCUAAUUGAGGCGGAUGUGAAAUCCCCGGGCUUAACUUGGGAAUUGCAUUCGAUACUGGUUAGCUAGAGUGUGGGAGAGGAUGGUAGAAUUCCAGGUGUAGCGGUGAAAUGCGUAGAGAUCUGGAGGAAUACCGAUGGCGAAGGCAGCCAUCUGGCCUAACACUGACGCUGAGGUACGAAAGCAUGGGGAGCAAACAGG